UUUUUAUUGAGAGUUUGAUCCUGGCUCAGGACGAACGCUGGCGGCGUGCCUAACACAUGCAAGUCGAGCGAUGAAGUUUCCUUCGGGAAACGGAUUAGCGGCGGACGGGUGAGUAACACGUGGGUAACCUGCCUC
rnacentral:rRNA from 1 species